rnacentral:rRNA from 1 species
UACAACAUAGCACUAAUGCACUAGAUCCUAUCAGAACUCCGCAGUUAAUCACACUCAGGCUAGAGUAGUUCUGAGAUGGGUGAUCGUUCGGGAAGUCCUAGUGUUUUAC